rnacentral:hammerhead_ribozyme from 1 species
AUCCAGCUGACAAGUCCCAUAUAGGACGAAACGCGCGUCCUGGAU